rnacentral:rRNA from 1 species
CUCCUACGGGAGGCAGCAGUAAGGAAUAUUGGUCAAUGGACGCAAGUCUGAACCAGCCAUGCCGCGUGGAGGAUGAAGGUCCUCUGGAUUGUAAACUUCUUUUAUCUGGGAAGAAAUGUGCGCUUUCUAGCGUAUUUGACGGUACCAGAUGAAUAAGCACCGGCUAACUCCGUGCCAGCAGCCACGGUAAA